rnacentral:rRNA from 1 species
CCUACGGUGGCUGCAGUGGGGAAUAUUGGACAAUGGGCGAAAGCCUGAUCCAGCCAUGCCGCGUGUGUGAAGAAGGCCUUCGGGUUGUAAAGCACUUUCAGUGGGGAAGAAAGCCUUGGGGCUAAUACCCUCGAGGAUGGACAUCACCCACAGAAGAAGCACCGGCUAACUCCGUGCCAGCAGCCGCGGUAAUACGGAGGGUGCGAGCGUUAAUCGGAAUUACUGGGCGUAAAGCGCGCGUAGGCGGUCUGAUAAGCCGGUUGUGAAAGCCCCGGGCUCAACCUGGGAACGGCAUCCGGAACUGUCAGGCUAGAGUGCAGGAGAGGAAGGUAGAAUUCCCGGUGUAGCGGUGAAAUGCGUAGAGAUCGGGAGGAAUACCAGUGGCGAAGGCGGCCUUCUGGACUGACACUGACGCUGAGGUGCGAAAGCGUGGGUAGCAAACAGGAUUAGAUACCCUUGUAGUC